GAUGCUUGGAACUGACUAUCAGAUUUGGGCUCCAGAGACAACUGUCCCUCGGGACUCUCCAUUAAUGCCUUUACAUCAGGGACACGAUUAUGAUUCCGGGCUUCUGCUUUCUUUUCUUGAAGAAAUAUUGUAGCUAGAGAGGCAAGACUUUGACUACUUGACUGUGAUACAGAAUGAAACUCGAAAAGGAGAAGGAAUGGCAACGAAGAAGACAACCAUCUUCCCCCCCAGACCAAAAGGAGUAGCAGAAACCCUGUCUUUCAGGAUUCCUGGGAUACAGAGUCUUCAGGCAGUGACAGUGGUGGGAGCAGCAGCAGCAGCAGCAGCAGCAGCAUCAACAGCCCGGACAGGGCCAGCGGGCCGGAAGGCAGCUUGAGCCAGACCAUGGCCGGAUCCAGCCCUAACACGCCUCAGCCUGUGCCCGAGCAGUCCGCGCUGUGCCAAGGCCUCUACUUCCACAUCAACCAGACCCUGAGGGAGGCCCACUUCCACAGCCUACAGCACCGAGGGCGGCCUCUGACAUGAUGUGCCGGCAGUUUCUUGCCUUCUGUGAAGGGACAGCGCUG
rnacentral:sRNA from 1 species